AGAGCCGCGCUGCUCGGCUCCCAGGCCGGGGACACGGCCCGGUGUUAAGCGGAGGGUGCCCGACCGCGGGAAUUCCUAAGGCCACGCGCACCUCCAAGGCCACCGCCGCACACAGCUUCGGAGUGCACAGUGCACACGCCCAGGCACAGGCAGCCGGCCCGAGAAAUUGUGAAUGUCUUGGCUUUGAGUUUAUCUGCGUAUCCUGGCGAAGUUUGGAUGCAGAGAACUUGGAGCUGUUGUUUUCUACCAGACACUAGGAUCCCUGAGAGAGGUGUCAUUCUUUCGCGCUGCACACACCUUCCUCCACGUGGUGAAGAUACAUCGCUCCUGACAGAUCCAAAGGGAGAUAUCGAUCCAUGGAAGAUGGUUGCUCUCGGAAAAUGCUGAGAAGUUUGCAAAAGGAAUGGAAGCAGAGUUAACCAAUGUAUCAGGAAGCUUACACUUUCUCCUUUUAAACUGCUGUGCUGGUCUAUUAAGACAUGCCUAAUACCCAAAGCUGAGGGGCAAAAGGGGAGAGAAUGAAGUUUAUGCGUCUGUGUCAUAGAGAAAAGCUGCCAAAAUGUGAUUAAGCUUUUUGAGUUAGAACUUAACAAAAUGCCUUUGCUACUGGUUUCCAUGGUUGUCCAGUGAAAAGAGUGAAUACAUUUAUAGGAAACACAAAAGGUGGUUUCAGAGCUUGGGCAGGAUGGAAGACGUAUUUCUUCUACUAUUCGCUCCUGUGAGUUUAGUGCCA
rnacentral:lncRNA from 1 species